UACAGAGGUCUCGAGCGUUGUUCGGAAUCACUGGGCGUAAAGGGUGCGUAGGCGGCACGGUAAGUCAGAGGUGAAAUCCCGGAGCUCAACUUCGGAAUUGCCUCCGAUACUGCCGUGCUUGAGGACUGGAGAGGAGAUUGGAAUUCACAGUGGAGCAGUGAAAUGCGUAGAUAUUGUGAGGAACACUAGUGGCGAAGGCGAAUCUCUGGGCCUAUCCUGACGCUGAGGAGCGAAAGCAUGGGUAGCGAACAGG
rnacentral:rRNA from 1 species